GGCACGAUGUUGUAAAACCUGGAGCUGGAGCUGGAGCUUCGAUUGCAGCAUCUGAAGAAGGAACUGAUUCUUCCGAUCUAGAUGGUAAAAGAAGAAGGAACCCUUUAACCUGACGUGAGCAUUGAUGUAAGUUUUGUGGGUGUGCAUUAAAUGUAAUCACCGUAUGUUGCAUGCUUCGAACGGCCAUCGUCCACCACAAUUUUGUCUUUGUUUCUAUUUCUAUUUUCAUUUUGUUUUUUUCUCUGAGAAAAAAAAUAAAUAAAUAAAAAAAAAUGCCAUGUUUCUAGGGGCGUGGGAUUUUGUUCUGGCAUUUGUUUGCCUUUGUUGAUGCCCUCUCAUUUAUCCACCCAUU
rnacentral:lncRNA from 1 species